rnacentral:tRNA from 1 species
GGGUGAUUAGCUCAGUUGGUUCAGAGCACUACCUCGACAAGGUAGGGGUCGCUGGUUCGAGCCCAGUAUCACCCA